UACGUAGGGUGCGAGCGUUGUCCGGAAUUAUUGGGCGUAAAGGGCUCGUAGGCGGUUUGUCGCGUCGGGAGUGAAAACACCGGGCUUAACUCGGUGCUUGCUUUCGAUACGGGCAGACUAGAGGUAUGCAGGGGAGAACGGAAUUCCUGGUGUAGCGGUGAAAUGCGCAGAUAUCAGGAGGAACACCGGUGGCGAAGGCGGAUCUCUGGGCCUUACCUGACGCUCAGGCGCGAAAGCUAGGGGAGCGAACAGG
rnacentral:rRNA from 1 species